GGUUGGGCACGGGUACCGAUUGGUCACCGGUCGAAUGUAUACCAUAGGAAAGCAGAAAAAAGUGAUGUGACUCUUAACUUGCAGGUCGGUCAGCUUGGGUGGAAAUCCUGCCAGCAAGCUUAAUGCGAAAUGCGCCGCAGUUUACGGCCGUAUGCCUUUGGUGUCGAUGGCGAACGCUCCAUGAUGAUUAUUUAUCAUGGUUUCAAGAGUAAGAGACGUUUGCCUGACUGACUCGGCUAGUGGAAAAUGGCAGUAAACUCAGAGCGCACCGGAAGAUGAACUCCUCACGCAGGUCAUCAUGAAACACGAAAUGCACCCCAGAACGAGGCUGUUCCGAGAAUGGCAAAGAAUUGAGGUCCAAUGGAAGCAGAGGGGCCAUUGACCCAGCUUUCUAAACAGAGCCUUAGAGAAGCUGUGGGUGAGGUUGUGGGAACGACGACUGGCGCUGCAGGCAUGCCGUUCCAGCGCCACCACCUUUGACUUAUCAUGAAUGCCCCGGGUCUGCCCUCGCUGGUGUGAGACGUAGUUGCCCUGGCGGCCCUGGCGGGGCCUUGAAGCGUGGUCGUCAACGCAUCAACCGUGUCUGGGAUUCUCGCACUGCCCUCUCGCGCGCGAAGCUGGUGGGCAUUGCUACUGAAGUCAAGGCUGAUUUCUGGGCACGUUUUGUGUCAUUCGAGUCGUUGGGCGUCCCCCCCCCAACUGGGAAGCUGUCCCGUCACAACCAGUUCCUGGCGUGUGUGUUCGGUCCCUUGUCUUCCGGGGACCCCCAACUCUGCCUCCCCGUCCCCGUCCCGGCGUGCGUGACGUUGUACGGCGUGGUCGUCGCUGUACUUGGAUGUGUUGACUCUUCAUGCGUCACGUGCAAUGCUCGGACUGUGUUACAGACCCUUGAUGGUAAAACCGCUGGUAGGCAUGGUGUGGAGCCUGUCGGUGGCUUCGGUUCCUAUGUCGUGGUAGUCUGUUCUAACCCAGGUCUCACUGGGUGCGCCCCCUGCCUUAAGUCGCUGGUCCGUACAUCAGUUAUAGCGGCCGGACCAUUUAAAUUUGAUUUCCGUUUUGAUUCUCGCUUUCCGAUUCCAGAUUUUUUUGAGUCACCCUUAACUGCUGCGCUGACACAGUCGACAUAAAUUUGCUUUCCUCGCUCGUCUACAAUGACCAGGCCUAUCCACAUACAAGCGACGUCCGCACGGCUGACGUCUUCGUGCUUACACGUCGGGUCAAAGCACCGGGCAUUCCACGCAACUUCCUAAGCGGGACGUGAACGGAGUAAGCCCGUACUCUUCUAGCAAACAUUCAUGUAUUCUUAUUGCCGACUAUACGGCCUGCUAAAGCGUACGCUCAUGCGCCCAUUCCAGACCGCGUUACUCCUAUGUGUUGAAACAUGCCCGCUGUCAAAACGCCACUUUCUGAAGGGCCCUCCCGAAACACGCGGUUUUUAUGACAGGUCCCAGGUGUAAAUAGAAACAACCCAUGCUUUUCACUCUGGCAGGACUUUCCCAAGAGCACACUGUACUUUCCACUUCAUACACUGUGCCCUAGCCGCCGCCCUGCCAAGGCACUCACCAACAUGCCGACAGGACAACACUUGGUCGAGGUCCCACUCGCCCAUCAGCACAUGCAACCGGACACAAGCGACUGACGCUCAUUGGCAAGCGUGUUCACAAGCACUUAUGACCGACACCCAAGGCAUCUGCUGCGCCCCCUCUUCCGCCUCAUGAUUUCAGCCCCCGCUGUCUUCUCGCAUCCAUAAUGCAGGGAACAGCCUUCGUCCCAGUGUGUCUGUCCUGUUGCAUGCAUUUGCUCUCCCCAAUGCCCAAUCGCCGGGCCAGCUCAUAAAACAUAGUCAGUUAUGCUUCCGAAAUAUAUCCACCAGGUGUGGG
rnacentral:lncRNA from 1 species